rnacentral:rRNA from 1 species
GGCCUACCAUGGUGGUAACGGGUAACGGGGUGUUAGGGCACGACACCGGAGAGGGAGCCUGAGAAACGGCUACCACAUCCAAGGAUGGCAGCAGGCGCGCAAAUUACCCAAUCCCGACACGGGGAGGUAGUGACAAUAAAUAACAAUACGGGGUUCUUUCGGAUCUCGUAAUUGGAAUGAGUACAAUUUAAAUCUCUUAACGAGGAACAAUUGGAGGGCAAGUCUGGUGCCAGCAGCCGCGGUAAUUCCAGCUCCAAUAGCGUAUAUUAAAGUUGUUGCAGUUAAAAAGCUCGUAGUUGAAUUUCGGGGUCAGCAGGUUGGUCGUGCCAAUGGUAUGCACUGGCCUUGCUGAUUCCUCCCUCUUGAUGAGCCGUAAUGUCAUUAAUUUGGUGUUGUGGGGAAUCAGGACUGUUACUUUGAAAAAAUUAGAGUGUUUAAAGCAGGCUCACGCUUGAAUACAUUAGCAUGGAAUAAUGAAAUAGGACGUUUGAUUCUAUUUUGUUGGUUUCUAGGAUCGACGUAAUGAUUAAUAGGGAUAGUUGGGGGCAUUAGUAUUCAAUUGUCAGAGGUGAAAUUCUUGGAUUUAUUGAAGACUAACUACUGCGAAAGCAUUUGCCAAGGAUGUUUUCAUUAAUCAAGAACGAAAGUUAGGGGAUCGAAGACGAUCAGAUACCGUCGUAGUCUUAACCAUAAACUAUGCCGACUAGGGAUCGGAUGAUGUUAAUUUUUUAAUGACUCAUUCGGCGCCUUACG